AUAAAAUAGCACAAACAAUGUUAUGCUGUUAGACUAUAUCGAGAUAAAAUGAAUAUCUGCUAGGAAAAGUGUGACUUAUUCUAAAUUUACAAGUAAUGCCGGCAGUUUCAGUUUGAACUUUAGAGCUGCACAAAGAAACGCCGUCUUUCUGUGUUUUUGCCAACAGUUGGACAUAGCCAUCUUGUUUGAACAAGCUUCAUUGAAGCUCUCACUGGAACCAAAACCAUACAAAUCUCCGUCAUUGUGUUCAGUGUGAGCUCCACUUGGACAGCGGAGCAAUUGUAGGUUCUGCACAUGCAGAAUCCCAGAUUACAAUGUUUCUUGCAAAUGAACAUCUUGUACAAGAUUAAGAUAAAAGAUUAAUAAAAUCACACCAUGACUUCCCACUUCAAAGACUAACCCUAUUAGCAUGCUGUAGCUGGCAGUCAACAAGUGGUGCUCUGCCAAAAACAUUCUGGAUGGAACUUGCACCCUAAAAGUUAUGAACAGAUAUAAAUAGAUGUAGUGACCGUAAUUGUUUGGGUAAUGGAGUUCCGAAAUGUUUUAAUCCGAAUAGUUCAGGAUGAAUUCAUGGACCUUUAUACCUGUGGGGGUGACACGUGUUAAUACAGAUCUACCUCUGUUUUUUUUUAAAUACAUACAGUCUGUUUAAAGCUUGUCGUAGAUAAUUCAUUUCUACGAUACCCAGUCAUAUCACAAAAUCUCUGUCUCUAUAUGUUUUCAAAUUGGGAAGUACUUUUAGAGAGCUCAGUCAGGUCCCCAUGUUCACUAUAAGUAUUCCAGUUACUCCCAAGGCAGUAGUGGUUGUAGAUGGACUUAGUUUUGGUUCAGUCUGUGGUAUGUUUGUAAUGUUGGUUGUGGUAUAAAUUUUGAACUGAAUUAUAGUGUAUCCCCAGCUGCACACAAACACCAGUAAACAUCAGUCUGUGGUUAUCAUCUUCCUUGACCUUGUGGAUCACAUAUGCAUAUUUGACUUAUGAAGAUGUCAACCAGAUUUCCAGUUUAAAAGAACAGACUGUGUUCGUGAUCAAAGCUCCUCCAGAGACUAACCUUGAGGUGCCACAUCCAGAGGAGAGCCUCCAGGUCCACCUCAGAAGCACCCAGGGGCCUAUUGAAGUGUUCCUCUGCUCUGAUGACCCCAUCCCUAUGGAAGUCACAGACAGCUCAGCAGCCAGUGGGAAGGCCUCGGUCUCUCCUUUGUCAUCCUUCACUCAGGUGUCUUCUAAAGACGUCGCUAACAAUAGUUGCAGAAUAAAUAAUUCUUCCAACCCGCUGUCUGAGCAGACACAACACUCCUCACCGGUUAUUUUCACCGCCGUUUCCCCCACACCCGCCACCCCCUCCUCUGAAGACCAGCACAGUUUUGUCACCCUCGCUCCUUCUCUGGCCAUCUCUCACGAUGAGGAGCAGUACCUCCUGAGCCUGGCCGAGGACGAGGGCAUCACCGACCUGUUCUCCUCUGUCGACUUGGACCAGGCGCCGGUGGAUAUGCCACUUGUCUGAACAGUUGUUUUUGGAAACACGGGUUUACUGACUCUAAGGAACACGGAGGAGGUUGUAACCUGGAAGCAUCAAGUUGAAGCUGGUGUGUAAUUCCAUUCCAAGCCAAUCUUGUGGCUUUUUUUUUCCUCCUCUGGACUGGGGCUGAUGCGUGCUGUUGGAUGAAGCAUUUUGAUUCCAAGCUUUAAUGUGUUACAUGUCUGGGAGACGUUUUUGAGUGUCUCUUUGUCCAAAGUACGAGCAUUACGGUCUCAACACAGGACUAAAUCAUGACCUCCUUGUUGUUUCGGUUAUGGGAAAAACACUGUUGUACUUGUCAGUCAGGACAAUGGAGAUCAUUUUUGUACUUUGAUCAGGAGGCUACCAUUCGACAAAGCAGCACAGUCUAAACAUUUAAAGGUGUUCAUUCACAUUUAAAAUCUUCUUUAGAGUCAUCCACUAGACUACUGCUGUUUGUGUUGGACUUUUGGGAUGUGAACGACAUUUGUGCAUGACUGUAUGGUUACUAAUGCUGUGGUUUAUUGACGAUUCUUAGUUUUGUAUCUUCGUUUCCCACUCUUCCAUUCAAGUUACUAAUACAAAAUUAUAUUCUGAGCCUCCUUCCAGAGAGUUAGUUCCUCAUCACCUUGAACUGAUAUGCAAAUAAUCCACGUCUUGUCUUGCGACUCCUACAAGGAAUGCACCAAUCCAAGUUUUUCCAUUUCUGGUAUCGAUUCCAAUACCUCAACUCAGUGUGUUUCCUGAUACUGAGUACCAGUCCGAUACCAGUGCUCUCUUUUUCUCUAAAUGUACAUGACAGUGUGGAACUCAUUGGAAUCAUCUUCAUGUAAAGUUACCUAUCGUGAAAUGAUGUUGGACACACCUUGUUUUAUAAUAACAUAACAAAGAAACUGCACGCGUCAUAGCCAGUGACCGUUAAGAAAGUAUUUGAUUGGCGCAUUCCCAUCUGCUACUUAAGCAAAUCAGUCUCCGUCUAAACCUGUGUGCUUUAUAGCUUCCUCAGGGCUCUAGUAACUUUAACUAGAGGUGCAAUUUUGUAUAAUAAAGGUUGAUUCAUACACAGUAUUUAUGGUGUCCCCUAAAGUUUGUUUGUGCCAGAACAUUGUUGCAACACUUUGAUUAUUACAAAAUCUUGCUGACAGUGUUUGAGAUUCCAGUCAUCUCAGCAAAUGAUUUGGUCAGGCACCAACGCAAUCUGUGUUCCCUCUCGUAGCUGUUAGAGGCGUAAUUGUCUACUGAUGACACGCUGAAAGCAUUUACUCACUUUUUCUUGCUGCAUUAACAGAUGUCUAGCUCUUCCGUUUUAAAAUUGCAGAG
ensembl:lncRNA